UAGGGAAUCUUCCGCAAUGGGCGAAAGCCUGACGGAGCAACGCCGCGUGAGCGAAGAAGGCCUUCGGGUCGUAAAGCUCUGUUGUCAGGGAAGAACAAGUACCGGAGUAACUGCCGGUACCUUGACGGUACCUGACCAGAAAGCCCCGGCUAACUACGUG
rnacentral:rRNA from 2 species